CACGGAGGUGCUCCAGUCACUUUCCCGAUCCAAGAGCCUCUUGUCGUCGACCUUGAGGACCCCUGAAUCGGAGCCAUGGAGCCCCAAGUAUCGUGUAACUUUUCUAAUUCCUUUCACUUCAUUUUGAAAUGUACACAGAUGGAUUCAGUGGACAGACUGAGUAUACAUUUCAUUUACAGAAUGAUGCCUGGAGUAUCACUUUUAAUUCAACUCUUCAGAUAAAACGGAAGGAAGAGUACUACUACUACUACAGCAGUGGCCCUAGACGAUCACCAGAUUGGCAUUCCAUGAGGACAGAGAUUUUGUGUUACUUCUGUAUACCUACCAUCUAACUCAGAGUGGGCAGUUAGAGCCUGCUUACUCAAGGCUGACGGAAAUAGUGCAUGGAUGAUUGAAAGAAGGUAACACUGGGUCACUCUCUCAUUCUCCUCUUUGUUUAGUCCAUGAAGGCACCUUAAUGACCACCAUACUUUAUUCUUCCACUGACUCAUGGUGAGAAUCAAUUAAAGUUUAUGAAAGGAGGAGGCAUCUUUGGGAGAGGGCUACUCAUUUCAUGCUGGCCAACGGCACAGGAAGUUCAAUUUUUAAAGCUCAACUUUGUAACUAUUCUACUCUUCUCGAACAGAUCAAAUGCAUUGUAUUAGAUUGAGCUAUAUGACAUAGUCUCUUUCAACCAUUUUUGACCUACAAAGAGGCUAAACAUAGUGAAAACUGCACUGUUUUCAGCAUGACUUGGUGGAAAGUACAUGGAGAUCAGAUUCUGGAGUUCUGAAUUCAAGUACUGUGAAAUUUUAGAGAAGCCAUUUACCCUCCCCCAUGUCUCUGUUCACUGGAUAAAUAUUGAGCUUCUGUUAGAUACAAGACUGUGGGGAACACUAAGAUGUGUGAAAUAAAGUUUCUGCCUCCUUUAGGCUCAUAGUUUACUGUGGGGAGAUAAAAUUCACCUACAAAAAUUAUAAAUCAAAGCAGUAUAUGAUGGCAUCCAAGUUGCCUUUUUAAAAUUAACUUCAUCCUCAGCAAGAGAAGCUACUUCCUGUUGCAAUAAUCAGGAAUAGAAUAUAGAAGAGAGGACAGUUGAGCUUGGGCUUAGGAUGAUUAAGUUUCAUUAAGCAGAGAACUGGAGGAGGCCAGUUCAAGCAAGUCACACAGCAGGAGCAAAGGUACAGAGGCUGAAAACACAAGGCUAUUCUUGUGUGGCUGGACAGAUGGUUUGUGUGGGUGGGAUGUGGGAGAUAAGACUAGAAACCUGUUUCUUCCAUGGCAUGGAGUAGGCACUUUUUCAUUUUAGUUGCUACACUGAAUAAAUGAAGUAAGGAAAAUUGGUAGAAAGAACCCCAGAACGGGAAUCAGGAGGUCAGACAUCAGUUUCGUUACCAAGUCCCUGGACUCCCUCAAACAAGCCACUCUGGGGUUGCAUUAUUUUCAGCUGUCAAAUAGAGGUAAUUUGAGUAGUCCCUACAUGGUUCUAAGAGUUACAAGGGUGAAAUGAACAAUCAGAAGGAAAAUUUUUGGAAAAGAAAACUGCUGUGCCUUUUUCCCUAAUAUGAAUUGCUAUGGAUAAAAGUAAAUUUAGAAACUCUUGGUAACAACAAAUCUGUUUACCUUAUUCCUAAAAUAUAUUGCAGGGUAUUCUCAUUUCUCAGUUACAAGUGAAAGAAGCGAGGGUGGGGGGAGCCCAGAUUGUGAUCACCUGGGUCAGACAAGAAUACAACAGUCUCUUAGAUGGAGGCAUGGACAGACAGUAUGGAAAUAGCUGCUCAAUAUCAAAUGAAAGGCCUAUCAUGGCACCUGGAGAGAGGCCAGGGGAGGAGGCCUCCUGGAAGUAGGAGAUCAGAUGGAAGAAAUCGUUGAGCCCCAGGAAUAUCAUCAGAUUGCAAAAGCCUCCUGGUGUCCUUCCAAUUCUACACCGUGCCCUUGCUCCAGCAGCUCAUGACCCAUGUACAGGUUUCUGAUGCAGAGCAGGGAGAAGUGUUCUUUUCUUUGCCAGCAACUUACCUGGAGCCAAUCUUCUUUGGCAGCCAGCCACCAGUGCAGGAUGGGUGUGCCUCCAUCCUGCUUCUUGGAUGAGUCUUGGUGUUUUCAGCCAACUUUCCUAAGCCCUUAGCUGCCAGAGUGGACUCUACCAGGUCAGAUUCUAAGAACAGCCCCACAUUUCCCAAAUGAGAUUUGGUUUGACAGAUUCUCCUCUGCUGACCCAAAUCAGGUAAG